CCUACGGGUGGCAGCAGUGGGGAAUAUUGCGCAAUGCUCGUAAGCCUGACGCAGCGACGCCGCGUGAAUGACGAAGGCCUUCGGGUCGUAAAGCUCUGUCGACAGGGAAGAAAAUGCCUAUAACUAACCGGGAGUGUAUUGACGGUACCUGUAUAGGCAGCCCCGGCUAACUCCGUGCCAGCAGCCGCGGUAAUACGGAGGGGGCGAGCGUUGUUCGGAGUGACUGGGCGUAAAGAGCACGUAGGCGGUAUUGCAAGUCAUGAGUCAAAGCCUAGGGCUCAACGUUGGUAAGGCUAGUGAAACUAUAAUACGAGAGUAUCAGAGAGGAUAGCAGAAUUCCUGGUGUAGCGGGGAAAUGCGUAGAUAUCAGGAGGAACACCGGUAGCGAAGGCGGCAAUCUGGCUGGAAACUGACGCUGAGGUGCGAAAGCGUGGGUAGCAAACAGGAUUAGAUACCCGUGUAGUC
rnacentral:rRNA from 1 species